rnacentral:tRNA from 1 species
GGAAAGAUGCAGGAGUGGCUGAACUGGCUCGCCUGGAAAGCGGGUAAACCCCAAAAGGGUUUCGGGGGUUCGAAUCCCCCUCUUUCCGCCA